AUUGAACGCUGGCGGCAGGCCUAACACAUGCAAGUCGAGCGGAUGAAGGGAGCUUGCUCCUGGAUUCAGCGGCGGACGGGUGAGUAAUGCCUAGGAAUCUGCCUGGUAGUGGGGGAUAACGUCCGGAAACGGGCGCUAAUACCGCAUACGUCCUGAGGGAGAAAGUGGGGGAUCUUCGGACCUCACGCUAUCAGAUGAGCCUAGGUCGGAUUAGCUAGUUGGUGGGGUAAAGGCCUACCAAGGCGACGAUCCGUAACUGGUCUGAGAGGAUGAUCAGUCACACUGGAACUGAGACACGGUCCAGACUCCUACGGGAGGCAGCAGUGGGGAAUAUUGGACAAUGGGCGAAAGCCUGAUCCAGCCAUGCCGCGUGUGUGAAGAAGGUCUUCGGAUUGUAAAGCACUUUAAGUUGGGAGGAAGGGCAGUAAGUUAAUACCUUGCUGUUUUGACGUCACCAGCAGAAUAAGCACCGGCUAACUUCGUG
rnacentral:rRNA from 1 species